UCCUAGCCCCGAUUGUAGCGGCAUACUUUUUUGCUUUUGAUGAAAUUUUCCUGUGGUACAGAAUUUUCUAAAGCAAAAAAGAUACAGCGGAAAGCGGGAAAUAGC
rnacentral:sRNA from 1 species